rnacentral:rRNA from 1 species
UACGAGUGCCCCAAGCGUUAUCCGGAAUCAUUGGGCGUAAAGGGUGUGUAGGUGGUCAUGUUAGUCUUCUGUCAAAUUCUUCGGCUUAACCGGGGGUCCGCAGAGGAAACGGCAUGACUCGAGGAUGCGAGGGGUGAAUGGAACUCAUAGUGGAGGGGUGAAAUGCGUAGAUAUCCGGAGGAAUACCAAAGGCGAAGGCAGUGUUCUGGGUGGUACCUGACGCUCAGGGGCGAAAGCUAGGGGAGCGAACGGG